GAAGGUAUAGCUCACUGGAAGAGUGCAUGCCUAGCAUGCAAGAGGUCCUGUGUUCAAGCCCCAGUACCUCCG
rnacentral:tRNA from 1 species